AACCCAUGUUGUGGACACUUCCGCUAAAAGUCUUUGAAUCAUUCCCAAGUCUCUGACAAAGUUUUAAGUUCCAUCUAAACAAAUAAAGAUAUCUCAUUAAUAAGCUU